rnacentral:rRNA from 1 species
UACGUAGGGUGCAAGCGUUGUCCGGAAUUAUUGGGCGUAAAGAGCGUGUAGGCGGCCACACAGGUCAGCUGUGAAAACUCGAGGCUCAACCUCGAGACGUCGGUUGAAACCGUAUGGCUAAGAGUCCGGAAGAGGAGAGUGGAAUUCCCGGUGUAGCGGUGAAAUGCGCAGAUAUCGGGAAGAACACCCGUGGCGAAGGCGGCUCUCUGGGACGGUACUGACGCUGAGACGCGAAAGCGUGGGGAGCGAACAGG